GGUUAAGUGACUAAGCGUACACGGUGGAUGCCUUGGCAGUCAGAGGCGAUGAAGGACGUAUUAACUUGCGAUAAGCGUAGAUUAGGCAGUAAAAGCCACUUGAGUCUACGAUUUCCGAAUGGGGAAACCCACUAGCAUAAGCUAGUAUCGCUGCGUGAAUACAUAGCGCAGCGAGGCGAACUCGGGGAACUGAAACAUCUAAGUACCCGAAGGAAAAGAAAUCAACUGAGAUUCCGAAAGUAGCGGCGAGCGAAAUUGGACUAGCCCUUAAGCUUUAAAUGAUGCAGGUGAACACGCUGGAAAGCGUGGCAAUAAAGGGUGAUAGCCCCGUAACCGACACAUCAUUCUAAGUGAAAACGAGUAAGGCGGGACACGUGAUAUCCUGUUUGAAUAUGGGGGGACCAUCCUCCAAGGCUAAAUACUACUGACUGACCGAUAGUGAACCAGUACCGUGAGGGAAAGGCGAAAAGAACCCCUGUGAGGGGAGUGAAAUAGAACCUGAAACCGUGUACGUACAAGCAGUAGGAGCAAGGCAAUGCCUUGUGACUGCGUACCUUUUGUAUAAUGGGUCAGCGACUUAUAUUCAGUGGCAAGGUUAACCGUAUAGGGGAGCCGUAGGGAAACCGAGUCUUAACUGGGCGCUUUAGUCUCUGGAUAUAGACCCGAAACCGAGUGAUCUAGCCAUGGGCAGGUUGAAGAUUGAGUAACAUCAAUUGGAGGACCGAACCGACUAAUGUUGAAAAAUUAGCGGAUGACUUGUGGCUAGGGGUGAAAGGCCAAUCAAACUCGGAGAUAGCUGGUUCUCCCCGAAAGCUAUUUAGGUAGCGCCUCGGACGAAUACUACUGGGGGUAGAGCACUGUUAAGGCUAGGGGGUCAUCCCGACUUACCAACCCUUUGCAAACUCCGAAUACCAGUAAGUACUAUCCGGGAGACACACGGCGGGUGCUAACGUCCGUCGUGGAGAGGGAAACAACCCAGACCGCCAGCUAAGGUCCCAAAUUACUACUAAGUGGGAAACGAUGUGGGAAGGCUCAGACAGCCAGGAUGUUGGCUUAGAAGCAGCCAUCAUUUAAAGAAAGCGUAAUAGCUCACUGGUCGAGUCGGCCUGCGCGGAAGAUGUAACGGGGCUAAGUAGUAAACCGAAGCUGCGGCUGCAAUCGCAAGAUUGUGGGGUAGGGGAGCGUUCUGUAAGCCGUUGAAGGUGUGUUGUAAAGCAUGCUGGAGGUAUCAGAAGUGCGAAUGCUGACAUGAGUAACGAUAAUGGGGGUGAAAAACCCCCACGCCGGAAGACCAAGGGUUCCUGUCCAACGUUAAUCGGGGCAGGGUAAGUCGACCCCUAAGGCGAGGCUGAAAAGCGUAGUCGAUGGGAAACGGGUUAAUAUUCCCGUACUGCUUAUAAU
rnacentral:rRNA from 1 species